rnacentral:rRNA from 1 species
CCUACGGGAGGCAGCAGUAGGGAAUCUUCCACAAUGGACGCAAGUCUGAUGGAGCAAUGCCGCGUGAGUGAAGAAGGGUUUCGGCUCGUAAAACUCUGUUGUUGAAGAAGAACGGGUGUCAGAGUAACUGUUGACAUCGUGACGGUAUUCAACCUGAAAGCCACGGCUAACUACGUGCCAGCAGCCGCGGUAAU